AUUAAUUUGAGAGUUUGAUCCUGGCUCAGGACGAACGCUGGCGGCGUGCCUAAUACAUGCAAGUCGAACGAACUCUGGUAUUGAUUGGUGCUUGCAUCAUGAUUUACAUUUGAGUGAGUGGCGAACUGGUGAGUAACACGUGGGAAACCUGCCCAGAAGCGGGGGAUAACACCUGGAAACAGAUGCUAAUACCGCAUAACAACUUGGACCGCAUGGUCCGAGUUUGAAAGAUGGCUUCGGCUAUCACUUUUGGAUGGUCCCGCGGCGUAUUAGCUAGAUGGUGGGGUAACGGCUCACCAUGGCAAUGAUACGUAGCCGACCUGAGAGGGUAAUCGGCCACAUUGGGACUGAGACACGGCCCAAACUCCUACGGGAGGCAGCAGUAGGGAAUCUUCCACAAUGGACGAAAGUCUGAUGGAGCAACGCCGCGUGAGUGAAGAAGGGUUUCGGCUCGUAAAACUCUGUUGUUAAAGAAGAACAUAUCUGAGAGUAACUGUUCAGGUAUUGACGGUAUUUAACCAGAAAGCCACGGCUAACUACGUGCCAGCAGCCGCGGUAAUACGUAGGUGGCAAGCGUUGUCCGGAUUUAUUGGGCGUAAAGCGAGCGCAGGCGGUUUUUUAAGUCUGAUGUGAAAGCCUUCGGCUCAACCGAAGAAGUGCAUCGGAAACUGGGAAACUUGAGUGCAGAAGAGGACAGUGGAACUCCAUGUGUAGCGGUGAAAUGCGUAGAUAUAUGGAAGAACACCAGUGGCGAAGGCGGCUGUCUGGUCUGUAACUGACGCUGAGGCUCGAAAGUAUGGGUAGCAAACAGGAUUAGAUACCCUGGUAGUCCAUACCGUAAACGAUGAAUGCUAAGUGUUGGAGGGUUUCCGCCCUUCAGUGCUGCAGCUAACGCAUUAAGCAUUCCGCCUGGGGAGUACGGCCGCAAGGCUGAAACUCAAAGGAAUUGACGGGGGCCCGCACAAGCGGUGGAGCAUGUGGUUUAAUUCGAAGCUACGCGAAGAACCUUACCAGGUCUUGACAUACUAUGCAAAUCUAAGAGAUUAGACGUUCCCUUCGGGGACAUGGAUACAGGUGGUGCAUGGUUGUCGUCAGCUCGUGUCGUGAGAUGUUGGGUUAAGUCCCGCAACGAGCGCAACCCUUAUUAUCAGUUGCCAGCAUUAAGUUGGGCACUCUGGUGAGACUGCCGGUGACAAACCGGAGGAAGGUGGGGAUGACGUCAAAUCAUCAUGCCCCUUAUGACCUGGGCUACACACGUGCUACAAUGGAUGGUACAACGAGUUGCGAACUCGCGAGAGUAAGCUAAUCUCUUAAAGCCAUUCUCAGUUCGGAUUGUAGGCUGCAACUCGCCUACAUGAAGUCGGAAUCGCUAGUAAUCGCGGAUCAGCAUGCCGCGGUGAAUACGUUCCCGGGCCUUGUACACACCGCCCGUCACACCAUGAGAGUUUGUAACACCCAAAGUCGGUGGGGUAACCUUUUAGGAACCAGCCGCCUAAGGUGGGACAGAUGAUUAGGGUGAAGUCGUAACAAGGUAGCCGUAGGAGAACCUGCGGCUGGAUCACCUCCUUUCUAAGGAA
rnacentral:rRNA from 2 species